UACGAAGGGGCUAGCGUUGCUCGGAAUCACUGGGCGUAAAGGGUGCGUAGGCGGUUUGGUAAGUCUUGUGUGAAAUCUCCAGGCUCAACUUGGAGUCUGCACGAGAAACUGCCGGGCUGAGUGUGGGAGAGGUGAGUGGAAUUCCUGGUGUAGCGGUGAAAAUGCGUAGAUAUCAGGAGGAACACCUGUGGCGAAGGCGGCUUCUUGGGCCGUUUCUGACGCUGAGGCGCGGAAAAGCCAGGGGAGCGGAACGGGG
rnacentral:rRNA from 1 species